GCAUAACGCGAAGAACCUUACCCACCUUUGACAUGUACGGAAUCCUUUAGAGAUAGAGGAGUGCUCGAAAGAGAGCCGUAACACAGGUGCUGCAUGGCUGUCGUCAGCUCGUGUCGUGAGAUGUUGGGUUAAGUCCCGCAACGAGCGCAACCCUUGCCAUUAGUUGCUACAUUUAGUUGAGCACUCUAAUGGGACUGCCGGUGACAAACCGGAGGAAGGUGGGGAUGACGUCAAGUCCUCAUGGCCCUUAUAGGUGGGGCUACACACGUCAUACAAUGGCUGGUACAAAGGGUUGCCAACCCGCGAGGGGGAGCUAAUCCCAUAAAGCCAGUUGUAGUCCGGAUCGCAGUCUGCAACUCGACUGCGUGAAGUCGGAAUCGCUAGUAAUCGUGGAUCAGAAUGUCACGGUGAAUACGUUCCCGGGUC
rnacentral:rRNA from 1 species